CGGAAAACAUGUUUGUUCUUCGUUUCUGUUUGUUCGGCGGCUACAGUGAUGAUCGAGUUUCCUUGCUGUCUUGAAACGGAUUGCGUUAUGAAUUCUAUGUGUUUAAUCCCAUUAAAGACGGUGACGAUCGAGCUUCCUCAUGGUAUUGCGUCGGCAAGGCGGUGAGCUUUUAGGUAUAAAUAUGUCUGCAUUUCUCUUCUGGAAAUUGCGUUCUCUUCAUUCAUCUUCUAUUCAUAAGGCGUGGGAAGGUUUCACGACGGCGUCAGACGCUGAUCUGAUCGCUGAGCGGCAGAUGUGGGCUGCGGUUGAUCCUUACGCCAAGAACGAAUGUUGUUUUGUCUUAUGUUAUUGUUGUUUCAGAAUGAAUGUUGUAUGCCGCCAGAGACAUGUGACAUGGAUGAUGGUUGCCUAAAUGCGACGUUUGGAGGGAGAACUUGAAAUUAUAAACCAUUUGAUUCUUGAUUUUCUCGAUACAUGCUAGAUUGAAGCAUGUUUGUCUGAAUAUUUUUGUUCUAACUUUCCCAAGGAGUUUCUGAUUCAGAAAAUGAAGACCGUAAAGAGUACAAGGAGCAUGCUGAUAAUUUCAUGGAGAUUAUCAACCUUCUCCAAGACGAGAUUUAAACACCUUCGUCUAGCUUCUUUAUAAGGCUUAGAAGAUUGGGUACAUAUAAGUCCGAGAAGCUAAAAACUAUGGCCCUACUUAACAUGUGAUCUACUUUUAUGCAACACAAGAAGUUGAACAGCAAAGUAGUCUCUGGAAUAACUUUUGUAUUAUGUGUUUUUUUUAUCAACGUAUUGUGCUUUUAUGUUUCAAUAUUUUCGGUUCAAGAUGAAGUUUCAGUAAACUGCUAAUAAAUUAAUACUCUCUGUAGAAUUCA